rnacentral:tRNA from 1 species
GCCCCUGUAGCUCAACGGACAGAGCAGUCGCGUCCUAAGCGAAAGAUGGGGGUUCGAUUCCCUUCAGGGGUA